rnacentral:rRNA from 1 species
GAACGAUGAUCCGGAGCUUGCUCCGGGGCAUUAGUGGCGAACGGGUGAGUAACACGUGAGUAACCUGCCCUUCACUCUGGGAUAAGCACUGGAAACGGUGUCUAAUACCGGAUACGACCUUCAGCCGCAUGGCUAGGGGGUGGAAAGAAUUUUGGUGGAGGAUGGACUCGCGGCCUAUCAGGUAGUUGGUGAGGUAAUGGCUCACCAAGCCGACGACGGGUAGCCGGCCUGAGAGGGUGACCGGCCACACUGGGACUGAGACACGGCCCAGACUCCUACGGGAGGCAGCAGUGGGGAAUAUUGCACAAUGGGCGAAAGCCUGAUGCAGCAACGCCGCGUGAGGGAUGACGGCCUUCGGGUUGUAAACCUCUUUUAGUAGGGAAGAAGCGAAAGUGACGGUACCUGCAGAAAAAGCACCGGCUAACUACGUGCCAGCAGCCGCGGUAAUACGUAGGGUGCAAGCGUUGUCCGGAAUUAUUGGGCGUAAAGAGCUCGUAGGCGGUUUGUCGCGUCUGCUGUGAAAUCCGGAGGCUCAACCUCCGGCCUGCAGUGGGUACGGGCAGACUAAAGUGCGGUAGGGGAGAUUGGAAUUCCUGGUGUAGCGGUGGAAUGCGCAGAUAUCAGGAGGAACACCAAUGGCGAAGGCAGAUCUCUGGGCCGUAACUGACGCUGAGGAGCGAAGCAUGGGG